rnacentral:rRNA from 1 species
GCAGUAGCCGCGGGAAUACGUAGGUCCCGAGCGUUGUCCGGAUUUAUUGGGCGUAAAGCGAGCGCAGGCGGUUUGAUAAGUCUGAAGUUAAAGGCUGUGGCUCAACCAUAGUUCGCUUUGGAAACUGUCAAACUUGAGUGCAGAAGGGGAGAGUGGAAUUCCAUGUGUAGCGGUGAAAUGCGUAGAUAUAUGGAGGAACACCGGUGGCGAAAGCGGCUCUCUGGUCUGUAACUGACGCUGAGGCUCGAAAGCGUGGGGAGCGAACAGGAUUAGAUACCCCCGUAGUCCCUGUCUCUUAUACA